rnacentral:rRNA from 1 species
GCCGCGGUAUCCUAACCGUGCGAAGGUAGCGUAAUCACUUGUUCUUUAAAUGUGGACUAGUAUGAAUGGCACUACGAGGGUUAUACUGUCUCCUUUUUCUAAUCAGUGAAACUAAUUUUCCCGUGAAGAAGCGGGAAUAUAACUAUAAGACGAGAAGACCCUAUGGAGCUUUAAACAACCCAGCAAUUACUUCUAAAUUUUAAAUUUCAAAAUAUUCAUUCUUUAAGUAAUAUGUCUGCAAGUUUUUGGUUGGGGUGACCAUGGAGAAUAACAUAACCUCCAUAUUGAAUGAAUUCCCUUCUAAGCUGAAAAUCACCAAUUGAAGCAUCAACACACUGACAUCUAUUGACCCAAUAUAUUUGAUCAACGAACCAAGUUACCCUAGGGAUAACAGCGCAAUCCACUUCAAGAGCCCCUAUCGACAAGUGGGUUUACGACCUCGAUGU